UGAGGAAUAUUGGUCAAUGGGCGUAAGCCUGAACCAGCCAUCCCGCGUGAAGGAAGAAGGCCCUAUGGGUUGUAAACUUCUUUUCCAGGGGGAGAAUUUUUCCGUCGUGACGGGAAUUGACGGUACUCUGGGAAUAAGCAUCGGCUAACUCCGUGCCAGCAGCCGCGGUAAUACGGAGGAUACGAGCGUUAUCCGGAUUUAUUGGGUUUAAAGGGUGCGUAGGCGGAUUGAUAAGUCAGUGGUGAAAGGCUGCAGCGUAACUGUAGAGUUGCCGUUGAUACUGUCAGUCUUGAGUAUGGUCAAGACAGGAGGAAUGUGUAAUGUAGCGGUGAAAUGCUUAGAUAUUACACAGAACACCGAUUGCGAAGGCAGCUUGCUGGGCCAUCACUGACGCUCAUGCACGAAAGCGUGGGGAUCGAACAG
rnacentral:rRNA from 1 species